rnacentral:rRNA from 1 species
AGCAGCCGCGGUAAGACGAAGGAUCCAAGCGUUGUCCGGAUUUACUGGGUUUAAAGGAUGCGUAGGCGGACACUUAAGCCAGUGGUGAAAUCCCAUAGCUCAACUAUGGAACUGCCAUUGGAACUGUGUGUCUUGAAUUCGGUUGAGGUAGAUGGAAUAUAACAUGUAGCGGUGAAAUGCUUAGAUAUGUUAUAGAACACCGAUUGCGAAGGCAGUCUACUAAGCCGACAUUGACGCUGAGGCAUGAAAGCGUGGGGAGCGAACAGGAUUAGAUACCCUGGUAGUCCACGCCCUAAACGUUGAUUACUCGCUGUUAGCGAUAUACUGUUAGCGGCUAAGCGAAAGCGUUAAGUAAUCCACCUGGGAAGUACGACCGCAAGGUUGAAACUCAAAGGAAUUGACGGGGGCCCGCACAAGCGGAGGAGCAUGUGGUUUAAUUCGAUGAUACGCGAGGAACCUUACCUGGGCUUAAAUGUUAGAUGCCAUUCUGCGAAAGCGGAAGUUUCUUCGGAACAUCUAGCAAGGUGCUGCAUGGCUGUCGUCAGCUCGUGCCGUGAGGUGUUGGGUUAAGUCCCGCAACGAGCGCAACCCCUAUCAUUAGUUGCCAUCAGGUUAAGCUGGGGACUCUAAUGAAACUGCCUACGCAAGUAGAGAGGAAGGCGGGGACGACGUCAAGUCAUCAUGGCCCUUACGCCCAGGGCUACACACGUGCUACAAUGGUAGGUACAAUGAGAAGCUACUUGGUAACAAGACGCAAACCUCAAAAAGCCUAUCUCAGUUCGGAUUGAGGUCUGCAACUCGACCUCAUGAAGUUGGAUUCGCUAGUAAUCGUAUAUCAGCAAUGAUACGGUGAAUACGUUCCCGGGCCUUGUACACACCGCCCGUCAAGCCAUGGAAGCUGGGAGAACCUGAAGUCGAUAACCGUAAGGAGUCGCCUAGGGUUAUACUAGUAACUGGGGCU